GACAAACGCUGGCGGCGUGCCUAACACAUGCAAGUCGAGCGAUCGGCUCGGGAGGGGUAACCCACCCGAGUACGGAGCGGCGAACGGGUGAGUAACACGUGGGCAACCUGCCCCAGGCUCUGGAACAACCCCGGGAAACCGGGGCUGAUGCCGGAUAUUCUCGAGCACUCGCAUGGGAGCUCGAGGAAAGUUCAGGCGGCCUGGGAUGGGCCCGCGGCCUAUCAGCUAGUUGGUGGGGUAACAGCCCACCAAGGCGACGACGGGUAGCUGGCGUGAGGGCGUGGCCAGCCACACUGGGACUGAGACACGGCCCAGACUCCUACGGGAGGCAGCAGUGGGGAAUCUUGCACAAUGGGCGAAAGCCUGAUGCAGCGACGCCGCGUGGGGGAUGAAGGCCUUCGGGUUGUAAACCCCUUUCGGCAGGGAAGAAGCCGCAAGGUGACGGUACCUGCAGAAGAAGCCCCGGCCAACUACGUGCCAGCCGCCGCCGUAAUAC
rnacentral:rRNA from 1 species